rnacentral:misc_RNA from 1 species
CAAAGAACCUGCAAUAGGUGGUUUUGAAUGAUAUCACGGAUGAUACCGUAUUCAUCAAAAUAUCCACCACGUCCUUCCGUUCCAAAAUCCUCCCGGAACACAAUCUGUACAUUAUCGAUGUUGUCACGAUUCCAAAGGGGUAGAAAGAAGCGAUUUGCAAAACGAAGUACCAACAUGUUCUGCACCAAUUCUUUUCCCAAAUAGUGAUCAAUGCGGUAAAUUUGUGGUUCCUCAAACAACUCUCCAAUCUGAGCACUAAGUUGUUCUGAAGAUUCCAAAUCCUUGCCAAAAGGCUUUUCGACAACAAUCCGAGUCCAUCCACCAAAAUCAGAUUUAUUCAUGCAACAUUUUUUUAUCAUCUUGCAGACAACUGGAUAUACUGAUGGUGGAAGUGCAAAAUAAAAUAGUCUUCGAGAUGAUCCUUCUGCACUAUUUUUGGCUAAUUCAUGCUCUGAAAUUUCCUUAUCCAACAGCUGAAAACCCUCCUCAGUAUCAUAAGAACCACUUACAUAUUUGAUCAACUGUAAGAACUUUGAUACGUCUUCUGAGUGCCCAGUUGAAGCAUCUUUGCAAAGAUAUCCAGAAAUACGACUUCUGAGCUCGUCGUCUGAAAUCUUAGUCCUUGCAUACCCAAAAAUAUGAACUUCAUUUGAUUGCAGAAAACCCUGACGGUAAAGAUUGAAGAGAGCAGGGAAAGUCUUCUUCUUGGCAAGAUCACCAGAGGCACCAAGCACAAUAAUUGAGAGGCAGCCAGUUUCAGGCACAUUCUCAAAUUCUUUAGAAAAUGAAUCGCUUCUGAAACUAGAUCUCUUCUCCAUUAACCACUGACCCGAACCCAUUUUCUACCUCUAUACACAGAGUCUUCCAAUCAAGAAUUAGCUUCCUGAAAUAUAUAAGCAAAGAAGUG